UACGAAGGGGGCUAGCGUUGCUCGGAAUCACUGGGCGUAAAGGGUGCGUAGGCGGGUCUUUAAGUCAGGGGUGAAAUCCUGGAGCUCAACUCCAGAACUGCCUUUGAUACUGAAGAUCUUGAGUUCGGGAGAGGUGAGUGGAACUGCGAGUGUAGAGGUGAAAUUCGUAGAUAUUCGCAAGAACACCAGUGGCGAAGGCGGCUCACUGGCCCGAUACUGACGCUCAGGCGCGACAGCGUGGGGAUCAAACAGG
rnacentral:rRNA from 1 species